rnacentral:rRNA from 1 species
GUUAAGCGACUAAGCGUACACGGUGGAUGCCCUGGCAGUCAGAGGCGAUGAAGGACGUGCUAAUCUGCGAUAAGCGUCGGUAAGGUGAUAUGAACCGUUAUAACCGGCGAUUUCCGAAUGGGGAAACCCAGUGUGUUUCGACACACUAUCAUUAACUGAAUCCAUAGGUUAAUGAGGCGAACCGGGGGAACUGAAACAUCUAAGUACCCCGAGGAAAAGAAAUCAACCGAGAUUCCCCCAGUAGCGGCGAGCGAACGGGGAGCAGCCCAGAGCCUGAAUCAGUGUGUGUGUUAGUGGAAGCGUCUGGAAAGGCGCGCGAUACAGGGUGACAGCCCCGUACACAAAAAUGCACAUGCUGUGAGCUCGAUGAGUAGGGCGGGACACGUGGUAUCCUGUCUGAAUAUGGGGGGACCAUCCUCCAAGGCUAAAUACUCCUGACUGACCGAUAGUGAACCAGUACCGUGAGGGAAAGGCGAAAAGAACCCCGGCGAGGGGAGUGAAAAAGAACCUGAAACCGUGUACGUACAAGCAGUGGGAGCACGCUUAGGCGUGUGACUGCGUACCUUUUGUAUAAUGGGUCAGCGACUUAUAUUCUGUAGCAAGGUUAACCGAAUAGGGGAGCCGAAGGGAAACCGAGUCUUAACUGGGCGUUAAGUUGCAGGGUAUAGACCCGAAACCCGGUGAUCUAGCCAUGGGCAGGUUGAAGGUUGGGUAACACUAACUGGAGGACCGAACCGACUAAUGUUGAAAAAUUAGCGGAUGACUUGUGGCUGGGGGUGAAAGGCCAAUCAAACCGGGAGAUAGCUGGUUCUCCCCGAAAGCUAUUUAGGUAGCGCCUCG